rnacentral:rRNA from 1 species
ACACAUGCAGUCGAACGGUAGCACAGAGGAGCUUGCUCCUCGGGUGACGAGUGGCGGACGGGUGAGUAAUGUCUGGGAAACUGCCCGAUGGAGGGGGAUAACUACUGGAAACGGUAGCUAAUACCGCAUAACGUCGCAAGACCAAAGUGGGGGACCUUCGGGCCUCACACCAUCGGAUGUGCCCAGAUGGGAUUAGCUAGUAGGUGGGGUAACGGCUCACCUAGGCGACGAUCCCUAGCUGGUCUGAGAGGAUGACCAGCCACACUGGAACUGAGACACGGUCCAGACUCCUACGGGAGGCAGCAGUGGGGAAUAUUGCACAAUGGGCGCAAGCCUGAUGCAGCCAUGCCGCGUGUAUGAAGAAGGCCUUCGGGUUGUAAAGUACUUUCAGCGGGGAGGAAGGCGAUGUGGUUAAUAACCGCGUCGAUUGACGUUACCCGCAGAAGAAGCACCGGCUAACUCCGUGCCAGCAGCCGCGGUAAUACGGAGGGUGCAAGCGUUAAUCGGAAUUACUGGGCGUAAAGCGCACGCAGGCGGUCUGUCAAGUCGGAUGUGAAAUCCCCGGGCUUAACCUGGGAACUGCAUUCGAAACUGGCAGGCUAGAGUCUUGUAGAGGGGGGUAGAAUUCCAGUGUAGCGGUGAAAUGCGUAGAGAUCUGGAGGAAUACCGGUGGCGAAUGCGGCCCCCUGGACAAAGACUGACGCUCAGUGCGAAAGCGUGGGGAGCAAACAGAUUAGAUACCCUGGUAGUCCACGCCGUAAACGAUGUCGACUUGGAGCUGUUCCCUUGAGGAGUGGCUUCCGAGCUAACGCGUUAGUCGACCGCCUGGGGAGUACGCCGCAGUAAACUCAAUGAUGACGGGGCCCGCACAGCGUGAGCAUGUGUUUAUCGAUGCACGCGAGACUAACUACUCUGACAUCAAGACUUGCAGAGAUGCAUGUGCUCGACUCUGAACAGUGCUGCAUGCUGUCGUCAGCUCAUGUGUGAUGUGGUAAGUCGCACGAGCAACUAUCCAUGUGCACGAUCGUCGACCAAGACUGCAGGUUACUGGAGUCGAUGAGCUCAGUCUAUGCUAUGUGCACUGUUCCAAUG